rnacentral:rRNA from 1 species
AUGCUUCUAACAUCUUUCAGAGAUACUUGUUUUGUUGAAAUUGUUCCACCGUAUCAGGCUCCACGGAGAGAGCAUUGGCCAAGUUUCUGGUUUGAAGUUCACUACAACUCACUAUACGAUGCUCCAGAUCUCCCGAGCAAAUACAGGCCUAGAAAGAAGCUUGUUUUAGAUUCACAUGUUGCUUCAGGCUUGAAUUUUAUCACAUGGCCUUGUCGAUAUUGCUGGCCGGCCACAUCCUGGAGAGCGGACAUCUACCUCUGA